rnacentral:tRNA from 1 species
GUUUAGUGUGGUGCUGUAGCACAUCACAUUUUGGUUGUGGAGGGAGCUUGUUGCUCACUUUUCU